rnacentral:rRNA from 1 species
UACGAAGGGUGCAAGCGUUAAUCGGAAUUACUGGGCGUAAAGCGUGCGCAGGCGGUUCGUUGUGUCUGAUGUGAAAGCCCCGGGCUCAACCUGGGAAUGGCAUUGGAAACUGGCGAGCUAGAGUGUGGCAGAGGGGGGUGGAAUUCCGCGUGUAGCAGUGAAAUGCGUAGAGAUGCGGAGGAACACCGAUGGCGAAGGCAGCCCCCUGGGCUGACACUGACGCUCAGGCACGAAAGCGUGGGGAGCAAACAGG